CGGGGUGGAGUAAUGCUUGGGAAUCUAGCUUAUGGAGGGGGGUAACUACGGGAAACUGUAGCUAAUACCGCGUAAUAUCGAAAGAUUAAAGUGUGGGACCUUCGGGCCACAUGCCAUAGGAUGAGCCCAAGUGGGAUUAGGUAGUUGGUGAGGUAAAGGCUCACCAAGCCGACGAUCUCUAGCUGGUCUGAGAGGAUGACCAGCCACACUGGGACUGAGACACGGCCCAG
rnacentral:rRNA from 1 species